rnacentral:lncRNA from 1 species
CAUUGGAACCACCCUUAUUCCAUCCUGGGCCCUGGGCCAUGCACCCCACCAGCGUUUUCUCCUCGGGACCCCAACAGGGCAGGACCUGUGGGUUCGCAGGUGAAGCCCUGAGGCUCCAAAAGGAGGCCGAAGCUGCUCCACAUCACAGCCUGGAUGUGGAAUUUGAAGGCUGGGAUUUGAACCCAAGUCUUCUGGGAGGCAGCCCAUUCCAAGCACUUUAAUAAAUGAACUCAACUCUCACCCACACUCCAAGCUGCCACCAUAAACCCUGGACGCCCCUGGGGAGAGGGAGCAGCUGCCGGGAAACCUCCCGGGCCCUGGAGCCGUCACCAAAUCCCUGCUGCUAUUUCUGAGCAGCCAAAGGAAUCCUGAAAUUAAAACCUUCUGAAAAAAAUGGCAAUUCCCCGUCCCACUCCAGACAGAUGAAGAUACUUCUCCCAAAAUAGAUGAAGAACCAAGGAGGAAACAGCGCAGAGCUGGACACAGCUCAAGACUUCCCACAAGAGACCUGAUUCCUGCCCAGCUCUGCCCCACCCAAGCCCCUGUCUGGUCCUCACCUGCCCGACUAUAAAAUAAAGGGCUGGGAUCCUCAACUUUAGUACAUCAGAAUCACCUGCAGAGCUGAAACAGCACUCAGGGGUCCCAGGUGAUGCUGAUGUCCUCUGAACCUUAGAAGUUUCCCUAAAGUCACUUUCAGCUCACACAUCCCCACUCUUUAAGGUUUGACACUCCAACUACUGGCUGUGUGAUGUUGGAUGAGUCACUUGACCCCUCUGAGUCUCCAUUCUUCUCAUCUGUAUAAUGGAGAGAAAGAAUGAUCACCUCCUCUUGAAGGUUGUGAGGAAAAAAUCAAAUAACAUUAGUAGUUCAUAGCAACUUUGUAAUAUCCCAAAACUGGAAACCAUCCAAAUGUCCAUUAGCAGGUGAAUGGAUAAAGAAAUUGUGGUACAUCCAUAUGACAGAAUGCUACCUAGCGAUGAAAAAGAGUGAGAUAUUGAUACUACAAAAACAUGAAUACAUCUCAAAACAUGUAUGCAGAGUGAAAGAAGCCAGGCGGAAAAGACAACACACAUUGUAUGUUUCCACUUGUAGAAAAUUCCAGAAAAAUUAAAACCAUUCAUAGUGACAGAAAGCAAAUCAAUAGUUGCCUGGUCAUUAGCGGAGGGAGGAAGGAUGAGAAGGAAGAGUAAGGAAGGAUUAUGAAGGGGUACCAGGGAACUUCUGGAGGUGAUGGAAUGUUCAUUAUUUUGAUCGUGAUGACCGUUCUGGUGUAAACACAUGUCAAAAAUCAUCAAAAUGUAC